AACGUAGGUGGCAAGCGUUAUCCGGAAUACUGGGCGUAAAGCGUGCGCAGGCGGUUAUGUAAGACAGAUGUGAAAUCCCAGGGCUCAACCUUGGGAACUGCAUUUGUGACUGCAUAGCUAGAGUACGGUAGAGGGGGAUGGAAUUCCGCGUGUAGCAGUGAAAUGCGUAGAUAUGCGGAGGAACACCGGAUGGCGAAGGCAGCCCCCUGGGUCAAAACUGACGC
rnacentral:rRNA from 1 species